ACAAAGCAAAGUUCCCUUUAAUCCAUCAAUGGGGCGGAGGGUUGGAAAGUAGAGAAUUUUAAAAACCUCAAAGAAAAGGUUUUUAAACCUUUCCAACCAAACAUAACCCUAGUUUGGCGACUACACCACCCGAUACUACUGGUUGGCCCGGGCGGAGCUAGAGUAUUUUGUAACAAAGGGCUUCUGAGGUGCUAGCCGCCCUCUCGGGCUACACUUAUACGGCCAGGCGACCUGAGCGCUAUAAUGCCUUUGCCGAAGGUAAUGGAUCGCUAAAGGAGAGAAGAUUGCAAGAACCAAGAUGGUUCCGUUCCUUCCUCCAAGAGCGCUUAAUCAACAGGGGUAAGCCCGAUAACAACGGAUAAGCAGCUAACAGCUUUUACCCCUCAAAGCCUGUUCUCGAGCCACUCGGAGUCAACGGAGAAAAAGUUACAGGAACUGGGUCUUUAUUCUGUUCUAUGUUUAUAAGCUUCUGGUUAUGCAAAAGAAUUUCUGUCUUAAACCGUGGUUUUCACGCUGGUCGGCAUUUCACACACCGUAAUACUGAGGAUAUUGUUUUUAAAGCAAUUUGUGUUAAUCUCAAACACAAGAGAUGGAAUAUCUUGGAGCUAAUGUCACCCAGUCUCACUUCCUCGAUGGUGAGUCGUGUAGUUUGCCAGUUUCAAAACUCACCACUAUUAGCUUUAGAAUUUUAUAAUUGGGUUCUAGAGAAAAAGAGUAUUUUGCAAUCAGUGGAGUCUUGUUGCACUGUUAUUCAUGUGCUAGUCAACUUGAAGAGAUUUGAUGAUGCCUUGUCUCUUAUGGGGAACUUAAUGAGUGUAAAUGGGAGAUCCCAUUUGGAGGUCUUAGAUGCGUUGGUUAAUACUUAUCGAAUGUGUGAUUCAAGUCCAGCUGUUUUUGAUUGUUUGGUUCGGGCAUGUACUCAAAUUGGGGCUACUGAGAGUGCUUAUGAAGUGAUCAAGAAGUUGCAAUUGGAGGGUUAUUGGGUGACAAUUCAUGCUUGGAAUAACUUUUUGAAUCAUCUCUUGAAGUUGAAUGAGAUUAGUAGGUUUUGGAAGGAGUACAAGGAAAUGGUUUCUUGUGGAUAUGUUGAAAAUGUAUAUACUUUCAAUUUGGUCAUUUAUGCUCUUUGUAAGGAAUCUAAACUACUAGAAGCAAUGUCAAUGUUCUAUCAAAGCUUGAAGCGUGGUAUUUGGCCUAAUGUUGUUACUUUUAACAUGAUCAUAGAUGGUGCUUGCCAGAUGGGUGCCAUGGAUCUUGCCAUGAAGCUCAUUAGCAAGAUGGAAGCCAUGUCAGGUGGAACUGUUAAGCCUGAUUGUGUAACUUAUAAUUGUCUCAUCAAUGGAUUUUGCAAAAUUGGGAAAGCAUCUACGGCGGAAAAAGUUAAAAAUGAAAUUAUGGAGAAUGAUAUUGAGUCUAAUGUGAGGACCUACACAACUUUAAUAGAUGGAUAUUCCAGAGUGGGGAGUUUGGAGGAGGCAUUUAGGUUAUGUGAUGAAAUGGUGAAAAAGGGAUUGGCACCCAACUCUAUCAUAUACAAUUCACUCAUCCAGUGGCUUUACGUGGAAGGAGAUGUGGAAGAAGCCUCUUUGCUAUUAUCUGACAUGAUUAAUAAGUGGAUAUGCCCUGAUCAAUUCACAUAUUCUAUUCUCACAAUGGGUCUUUGCAGAGAUGGUUAUGUCAACGAAGCAUUUAAAUUCCAUAAUAAGCUUCUUGAAAAGAACCUCAUUGGAGAUUCAUUUUCAUACAAUAUUCUUAUUAAUUACUUGUGUAGAAGCAAUAAUUUAGCAGGAGCUAAACAACUUCUUGCCAGUAUGUAUGUUCGUGGCCUGAUUCCUGAUGUUGUUACAUAUGCUACUUUGAUAGAUUGGCAUUGCAAGGAGGGCAGCAUUGAAACUGCAGUUCAGGUCUAUGAGAAAAUGAUGAAGGCAGGGGAAAAACCUAAUUUGUUAGUCUACAAUUCUGUUAUAAAUGGUUUAUGCAAGGAGGAAUCACUGGAUCUUGCAGGACUUCUGAAGGAUACAUUGCAGAGGAUGGAUUUAUUUGAUGUCAUAACUUAUAAUACCUUGAUUAAUGGAUACAGCAAAAGUGGGAAGAUUGAUGAGGCAUUUGCUUUGUCUUCAGAAAUGAGAAAUGCAGGAAUUUCAGCAAGCCAUGCCACCUAUAACACAUUAAUAAACUUUUUGUGCAAGCUUAGUUGUGUUCAACAAGCAAAGGAACUAAUGAAGAUGAUGGUCCUUUGGGGUUUGAUUCCUGAUUCCAUAACAUACACAACUCUUAUUAGCAGUUUCAGCAAGAAGUGCAGCCCUGAAGAAGUGAUUGAAUUGCAUGAUUACAUGGUGCUCAAGGGAGUAGUGCCUGAUAAACAGACGUACAAGGCCAUAGUGAGUCCACUUCUUCAAGAAGAUGGUGUGGAGACCUGAGUUUAGCAUUUUUAGAAUGUGCCUCAAAGGUGGAUGGUGUGUAAACGAGACUCUUGUGAAGUGUGAAGUCUAUAUGAUCAGUUGUUGUAAGUUUUCUAAUGGAAGAUCUGUUCAUGCAGUCUUAGAUUAAAUAUUUAGAUCUUAGCAUUCUUAGUUUCCAGAUGAAGCUUGGGUUGCACGGUUGCACAUUCUAGUAUUAUCAAAACAGAAUGUGCUGAAUCUUACAAAGAAAUAAUCAAUUGUACCUUUAUUUUUGCCCUUUCCAGAGAACGUAUAAGCUCCUUUUUCCCCCUGGUGUUGACAUACUAGGUUCCAGGUUUUCUAGUUAUUAUUCUUCACUUCAUAAAAAAUAGGUUGAAUGAGGUGGGAACCUGUAUUUGACAAAAAACAUGUGUGAUAAUGUAAGUAGCUCUCUGUUUUUGAUUUCAAUUAUGGGUUAUGAAAUUCCUAAGCCGUUAUUAUUUGAUUUCCUCGUAAUUGUUGAUGCAUAUGGGCCCUACAUGUUUGAGUCAUGGCAUUUGUAUCUACUGUUUUCAGUUUCAGGCAUUUGCAAGUUGCUUCUUCCUGUUGACACAGGUUCCCUUCCCUUUUUCCCCUUUUUAAGUUUUAGCUCUCUGUUGCACACCAUGUAGCAUUUAACAGUUUGGAAGAGAGAGGAAGUGGCUAUGGUGGUGGGUUUGACCAUCUUGGGGAGAGAGAGA
rnacentral:misc_RNA from 1 species